UUUUACCAGAAGUGGCUAGUCUAACCGCAAGGAGGACGGUCACCACGGUAGGAUUCAUGACUGGGGUGAAGUCGUAACAAGGUAGCCGUAUCGGAAGGUGCGGCUGGAUCACCUCCUUUC
rnacentral:rRNA from 4 species